GAUGAACGCUAGCGGCAGGCCUAACACAUGCAAGUCGAGGGAUAAGCCUUCGGGCUAAGACCGGCGCACGGGUGCGUAACGCGUAUACAAUCUGCCUUUUAUCCGGAGGAUAGCCCGAAGAAAUUUGGAUUAAUACCCUAUGGUAUAAGAGCACGGCAUCGUGCACUUAUUAAAGCUACGGCGGUAAAAGAUGAGUAUGCGUUCUAUUAGCUAGUUGGAGAGGUAACGGCUCCCCAAGGCGACGAUAGAUAGGGGUUCUGAGAGGGAUGUCCCCCACACUGGUACUGAGAUACGGACCAGACUCCUACGGGAGGCAGCAGUGAGGAAUAUUGGACAAUGGUCGGAAGACUGAUCCAGCCAUGCCGCGUGCAGGAUGACGGCCUUAUGGGUUGUAAACUGCUUUUGUAAGGGAAGAAUAAGGAGUACGUGUACUUUGAUGACGGUACCUUACGAAUAAGCAUCGGCUAACUCCGUG
rnacentral:rRNA from 1 species